GCGGACGUGGCGAAACAGGUAGACGCAAGGGACUUAAAAUCCCUCGACCGAUUGGUCAUGCGGGUUCGAGCCCCGCCGUCCGCACCA
rnacentral:tRNA from 4 species